rnacentral:rRNA from 1 species
AUUGAACGCUGGCGGCAGGCCUAACACAUGCAAGUCGAGCGGAGCGGCGGACGGGUGAGUAAUGUCUGGGAAACUGCCUGGUAGUGGGGGAUAACGUCCGGAAACGGGCGCUAAUACCGCAUACUAUCAGAUGAGCCUAGGUCGGAUUAGCUAGUUGGUGGGGUAAAGGCCUACCAAGGCGACGAUCCGUAACUGGUCUGAGAGGAUGAUCAGUCACACUGGAACUGAGACACGGUCCAGACUCCUACGGGAGGCAGCAGUGGGGAAUAUUGCGCAAUGGGGGCAACCCUGACGCAGCCAUGCCGCGUGAAUGAAGAAGGCCUUCGGGUUGUAAAGUUCUUUCGGUGACGAGGCGUUAAUCACAGAAGAAGCACCGGCUAACUCCGUGCCAGCAGCCGCGGUAAUAC